GCCCCAUUCUCCUGGGGUGGGUCAGAUGAAGGUGACCUGCUGUGGAUACUGCUGGAGACACCAAGACAGGGAAAUCCUGGAUCACCUGUCAUGUUGGCUCCAAAGGAACUGCUGUUGUAAGUGGCUCAUCAAGAGUUGAAGUUCAUGUAGCCUUGUUGGGAAUAUGGAAAAGGAAGAAAGCCACAGGACUGCCCGUUCAGUCUGGGAAGAUCUGGAUGAUUCUGCACAUGCAAAAAUGACUUGAAAUUUAUGUAUAGACACUUUGGAGGCUGUCCUGGAACUAGCUCUUGUAGACCAGGCUGGUCUCGGAAC
rnacentral:lncRNA from 1 species